UACGAAGGGGGGCUAGCGUUGCUCGGAAUGACUGGGCGUAAAGGGCGCGUAGGCGGCUUGUAUAGUCGGAUGUGAAAUUCCUGGGCUUAACCUGGGGGCUGCAUACGAGACGUAUGGGCUUGAGUGCGGAAGAGGGUCGUGGAAUUCCCAGUGUAGAGGUGAAAUUCGUAGAUAUUGGGAAGAACACCGGUGGCGAAGGCGGCGACCUGGUCCGUGACUGACGCUGAGGCGCGAAGCGUGG
rnacentral:rRNA from 1 species